rnacentral:rRNA from 1 species
UACGUAGGGUGCAAGCGUUAAUCGGAAUUACUGGGCGUAAAGCGUGCGCAGGCGGUUUUGUAAGUCAGAUGUGAAAUCCCCGGGCUUAACCUGGGAACUGCGUUUGAAACUACAAGGCUAGAGUGUGGCAGAGGGGGGUGGAAUUCCACGUGUAGCAGUGAAAUGCGUAGAGAUGUGGAGGAACACCGAUGGCGAAGGCAGCCCCCUGGGUUAACACUGACGCUAAGGCACGAAAGCGUGGGGAGCGAACAGG